CGAAAAGACUAAUUUUGUCUUAUAUGUAGAGUAGUUGCGUAGGCAGUCCAAGUGAUGAACUCCCUCAUUCAAAAUCUUCGUUUUCUUCUCCAGGAAGAUAUACCUAUUUCGCCGAUACACAUUUCCUCUGCACAGAGAGCAAACCAUUUCGCCAUGAAAGGAAAAGCUACUCGAGUUUCUAUUCAAAGCAGAGAGCAAACCAUUUCGCCAGACAAGAUAAAGAUACUGCUAAGGUUCCUCUUUAAUCUCUAUCAUGUCUUUGUUAAUCAUACUGUGUGUUUGUGGACGUUAUUUUUACUGAUCCUGCUUCAAUUGAGAAUCAUGAGAUAGGAAUAAAAGAACCCCAUUUUUUUUAAAUGGGCUACCAAAGCUUUUACUAUUAUCUUAUUUAUACUACAAUAUCUGUAAAACUUUGUUGUUUUAUGCUAUGAUUGAGAGAGUAAUUGGUUAUAUAUGAAGAUGGAGAAGGAGCUUCUUGAUAGGGUUAUGCGGUUUGAAAGCCAUAUCAAUACGUUAAAAUCUGAACGUCGACGACUCUGCAUUAGCCUUGGUGAUGUUACUGAGCUUGAUCAAACGAGUGUUGCAUAUAUGAAGCCAAGCUUUAGCAAAGUUAUGGUGAAUCUGUCUGGCAUAAUCCGUGAUUUUGAAGGAUUGACUCAAGACUUCAUCAGUCUGAAGGAAAGCCAACACUCGUUCAACUCAUCUUGUUAAUGCCUAUGUCAAUUCGAUAUCAACCGAUGUCAAAACUUUAAAGCUAGAGUGAUUCAGAAAUUCCAAGAUAUGACACAGGAAGUAAUCAACAUCAAAGCCUCGUUGGAGAAGAAGAUUCCUGCAACAAAUGAGGACAAAUAGAUAGUAGUAUUUCAUUUUAUGAUGAUGAUUAUGAUUCUAUAUAGCCAACAGUUUCUCUCUUAGUAUAUGCUUGAAUGCCAAUCAUCUUGUUGUGGCUAUACAUUUCGUAGUUUUUGUACCUAAGAACUUGUAGAUUUUCUCUACAUAUGUUAUACUUAUGUUUGAUUUCGUUGUUUCA